GGGGACGAAACGGUUUCGACAAUUAUGCCAAGGUCAUCUAUAAGCAUACCGCAGGGCACACUGCGUUAUCAAUAGCACCUAAAUAUAAAUGCAAGCCCAAGAAUGGCUUACGCUGCUUGCUAAUUAGUUAGCAACUGCGUUGUUCAUGCAUCUUUUCUCACCAAGAAGCAUUGAAUAUAAUAAUUGUGAGUAAGGCAUUUUCAAUUUGGUUUUGUUUGAUUGUGUCUGAUUUAAAAACCACGACAAGAUGUGCAUUUGUUCAUCUGCGCACUUGUUUAAACCAAAAUGAACUAAGUAUGUAGAAGGGGUGAUGAUAGCAUUUUUGGACGCGAGUUCAACUCUCGCCGUCUCCACCA
rnacentral:tmRNA from 1 species